UUGCCAAUGGCAUAUGCCUUGGAAGAUGCUUACAUUCCAACCCCUGUCUCAUUCUUUCUCUUUCCUUUUACCAAAAGUGACUACACACUAAUACUCAAGUCACCUCACUCUUUUAUUGUGCCCAUGACCAAUACCCCCUCCCCUAUAUAACCACCACCCCGUGCUUCUUCAUCGAUCCCUCUAAGAAUCCACCAUCCCCACAAUGUGACUCGGCGGUUCCGCUCGUGGGCCACCCCUGCCGCUAGCAGCAAUGGCUUAGACUGGAAGAAGAAGAAGAAGUGAUGGUGGUACGUGGUGCUGUCUGUCAAUCGUGCAUUCCCCGGCUGAGGAACCGCCUUUCAAAGGAAGGUUUCUGUGAUAGGGCAACUUCGAUCCUUUGGCAUUUUGGCUUUCUUGGAGUUUGGCUCCAAGAAAUUAUCUCAAGGGCGAGUCAGAUUAUAUAUAUGUUUUCUUCUAUGGCUUAUUUAUUUGUAAGUUCAGUUUGUAUGCUUUGAACGUUACAAACUCUGCCUGGUAUUAUUAUGUCUCUAGGCCUGUGGGCUGUGGCCAGCAUAACUAUUUGCUUUUGUAUGAGCACUUUUUUUUUCUCUUUCUAUUAGCAAGUGAUCGUAUGACUUAUUUUUGGGAGAUUAAAAUCUUUGCCUAGCGAGUCUGUUGUGUUACAGAAAUAGAGAGGGAAAUGAAAAAUGAAAACUCAAGAACAAGAGAAAUCAAGAAAAAAAUUCACUCUACAUUUAUUCAGAAUGAAUCAAUCCCAUUUUUUCAGUUAGGUGCUACUCCAUAUGAUUAUCUGAAUCUGCAUGCAUUUCUAAUAAAAGGGCAGUAUUUUUGUUUUUGAUUCUUGUGUAUUUAUAAGUUUUGAAGUCUAAUGCGUAGAACUAACUAUCCUAUUAUUAUGUCUAAAUGGUAACUUCAUUAACAAAAGACAAAAUUUAGAAAAAUGAUAUUUAGUGUUCCCAUAAUCUAUUGAACGGAAAAUAAUCAUCCAAUCCAAGAGUAGACACAAGAAAAGGAAAUAAAAUAAGAAACGAAUAAUAAACAUUCCUACAAUUCUAGCUCACAAAUCACAAUGUAAAAUUAUCUAUUCCUAAUAUAUGUUGAUAAAAAUUGGUCCAUCUCGCUGCCUACUUUCUUUACGCUUGGCUUGGAUUGAAUGGAUAUAGGCCCAAAUUGGUAUCAACUUCGUCCUAACCCGAUCGCAUACUAAAAUUACAUAUUCUUAAAAGGACGAGAUAAAAUAUAUAAAUUGAAAAGUAAAUAUGUCAUUCAGUGUAAUUUAUUAUAUAAAAAAUAAAACCACUCACUAUUUUAUAUAAUUAUUUAUAUUUUAAAAUUUUUUUCCUCUAUUUUUUUUAAUAAAAAAGAAAAGGGAAGAGAGGAGAAAGUUUUUUUUUUCCUUUUUCUAACUUUCUCCUCAAAAUUCACUUUUCUUAAUUUUUUUUCUAACUAAAACUCAAAUACACUAUUUUUCUUAAUUUUCUUUUAUUUUGUAUUAAAUUUUUUUUAAAAACACUAUUUAUUUUUCCUCCAAAAAUUAUCUAUAUAUAGAUAUUAUAAUGGGAGAGGUGUCAUCUAUGCAUCUUUCAAAAGGAAAAGGAAAAGGAAAAACCCUAGAAACAAGACGCUGCUUCGCUUGAAUGACCGGUGCGGCGGGCGAAGGUGAAGGAGAUAUGGAGGAUGAGGAAGACGAGGCUGCAACGACUAUAUACAUCAAACGCAUUAGUUAUUCACCAAAAAUAUAUCGUCAGGUUUGUGUUUCUUACCUAUAAUCUCCUUCUUUACUUUCUCUUCCCAAUGGCAAAAAAAUGGAAUUUGUACAGAAAACGAAUCAUAUUUAAAUCCAAUAAAAAAAUAAUUUUAUUUAUGGCAUGUGGAUUGCUCUGUUUGCUUGUCCCGUAUAAUUUUAGCGAUCCCUAAAUACCGCCAUGCUAAGUUUUAAAGUGACCGACCACAGUAAUUAUUUAAUUGCCUUCUUUGAUUCCGCCUGUUGAUCACUCUCCGCUUCUCCGCCGAAGAAAAUCUAGGGUUUUUCACAGUGCGACUGAGUCACUCCGCCGAACCUGAACGUCAAACAGUAAGCCUAACUGCCUUCUCCGGAUGUCUCUCAUAUGAAUGGUUCCGUUUAUCAGUCUCCUCAAAUUAGGGUAUUGAUCAAUGUAAGAAACAAACGGCUCAAAAGCUCAACUGAAAAUGGGAAUUCGCCUGUAAGUAUAGAUAAAGAAGAAAAUUUGUUGUCCUUGGGUUGAAGUUCGGUGGUGUUUUGCACGAUGAGCUUGAAAGCACGCAUUGGUCUAUAUAUAGAAUUGAAACUGGCCAGGGGAGAUGAAGAUGAAGUGUUGUUGAAAGCUGAUGGGGAUAUGAAUAAGUUGGAAUUGAAAUUUUGAAGCAAAUUGAGUUGGAUAAGUGGCCUUAAUACUUUGAAGGAACUUUUCAAGACCGGUUUCUUGGAAUAUCAUCCAGUUUCUUACAAUUAGUGUGGCUAAAAGGUUGUGCUUGUGAUUGUUGAAUUUUUAAUUUCUAACAUAUAUAUUUGUGCUGUAUAUGAAUACAAUAAUGUAACUCUUGACCGAUAAGUGGCGUAUGUGAUAGUUAUAUAUUGAGUCCAACUGUUACCCUAGGGUUUCCUUGAAAAAACUAGACUUCUAUUUAAGGCUAGCUAUAACGACAUUGUACAUCUUUCUUGACAUGGAAUUUUUGCUGGAACUCCCUUUCAAAUCACAGUAAUGGGUCUACUCUCUAAUUCCAACCUCCCGAAUCUUGUCAAUUAGCAUUGAUAUUGGUUAUGAUGCGAUUCAUGUCUACACUUGGUGGGUCCUUCUGUUAAUAUAGAAGAAAUGAGAACAUGGUUGCAAAUUGAGAAUCACCAAAUUUGGUCCAGAAAAGAUGCUAUCUUUACCAGGGUGAGCAGGGUUGCCCAUUUUCACACGCAAAAUCGUCUAGAAAACAUAAUCCUUAAUUAUCGCCCGUAAUUAUGGUAUUGCGACAAAAUCUUAUGUGUUGAAAGUUUGACUAGACAUUCAUCCCCAAGAACAAACAAAAAAAACUCUAUUAAUUAUGCUGUUUGAAGACAAUUGAUGGAGUGAUAUGCAAAAUCAAAUCUUCUAGAUAAUUUGGAAGAUCUGCAUCCUAGAUUUAUACUCUUUCAAUCAGGAAGUUCUGCAUCCUGGAUAUAUACUCUUUGUUUCAACAUGUGUAACUUUAAAAGCGACAUGGGCUAAUUUGUAUUCGUUGGCAGAACAUAUUUGACAUUUGGUUUUAAUGGUCUUACUCUCAAUAUGAUCAUUGGCUCAACUAGUUUUCUAUGACACUGGCUGAUUUACACAACAGAUGCCAGUUCAUUUUCUUAUCCGAUAUUCUUUUAGAACCAGCUUGGUUUAGGGUAUGAAAAAUGUUUCAACCCAUUGAACUAGGUGGAUUUGUUUGGAUCUAGUAACUAUGACUAUAAGUGACGCAGGACAAGUGCACAAGUCUUAGUUGGACAAACACAAGAGACUUUGGAUGUUCAUAGAAAUAUAAGAAAAUUCUAGAAGUUGUAUUUAGUUAAUUUUAGUUUUUAAUUUAUAAUUUUGGUAGUUAUCUUAGAGUUCUAUAUUUAGGAAGUAUUACAAAGAGGGAAGUACUUUGUUAUUCCAAAAUAGUGAAUUCUUAUAAUGAUUAAUUGAGAUUUGUGUUAGAAUUGUCUUGAGAGUUGUGUUUUGUGGCUUGUGAGCCAAAAUAUUUUCCCCAUAACCUCUUUAUUUCUUCUGUUCACCUUGUUCUACAUCAUUUUAUAUCCAAAGCCAAAAUUCAUGUAUCAUUUCUGCAACAUAUAUCCAGUGUUCUAAAAAUUCCCGCCUAGGUCUCGCCUAGGCGCUAGGCCCCCCUUGGCGUCCCGCCUAAGCGCUAGGUCCCCAUGGUGCUUCACCUAAACCUAAGGCGGUAAAAAAAUUCUUCCAGAAAAUUAGGCAGUGCCUAGGGUGGGGUCUAGUCGAAGAGAUUUUUUUUAAAUUUUUUAAUAACUAUCUAAACUAGAUCUUGAUAUAUUUAUCUUUUUAAUUAUUUACCAUAUUCAUAAUACAUGUUGUAGAAUAUCAAAUCACAAUAAGAAGUGAACAAUAUCAUGUCAAAAUGAAUAAUUUUAUUAUAGUUGUAAUUUUUUGAACUUGUACCAACUUCAAAUUAUAUAAAUGAUGAUACAUUUGUAAUAUUUAGUUUAAUUCAAUAUAAUUUUUAAAUUUAUGUUUAGUUUCUUAAGUUUUAAUAUUGAAUUAAAUUCUUGAAAAUUUAAAUUUUAUUAUUUAAUAGGAAACGUUAAAAAUAUGUUUGAACUUUGAACAAUUGCAUAUUUGUGUUUGAACUUUGACAUUAACAAUAUGUAUAUAUGUUUGAACUUUAAGCAAAGGCCUUUAUUAUCUUUACUAUAGAUUGUUUUGCUUUAUAUUAAUGUUUUGUUUGGAUAAAUGUAAGAUAAAAUAUUAAAAUUGGUUUAAAAUAAAAAAUCCCGCUUAGGCUUUGCCCAGGCCCUCUAGGCGCUAGGCCCGCUCGCCCACCUUACGCCUAGCAUCUUUUAGAACAUUACAUAUAUCAUCGUUGUCGUAGUAUCCAUCUAUACCACCCAAAACACCCAAAACAAAAAAUAAAAAGUUCACCAUCAAUAACAAGCCCUAGCUAGCUACACCAAAAGACACCACAAUUGCCCAAAUAGCUUGUAGAACAACCAAUGUUCUAAAAGGUGCUAGGCGGGCGGCCAAGAGGGCUAGUGCCUAGGGGGCCUAGGUGGAAUUUUUUAUUAUAAGUCAAUUUUAAUAUUUUAUCUUACAUUUAUCUUAACAAAACAAUAAUAUAAAGCAAAACAAUUUAUAAUAAAGAUAAUAAAGAUAUUUGCUUAAAGUUUAAACACAUCCAUAUUGUCAAUUUCAAAGUUCAAACACCAUAUAUUAUUAAUUCUGAAAUUAUUUUUAUUUGUGUAAUUUUCAAAAUUGAGAACUUAAAGAAAAUGACAAAUAUCAUAUAAUAAGUAUGGCUAACAUAUCUUUAACAUAUUAGUUUUAUUCAUAAACAAAAUUGGUAUUAAAUAAUAAAUUUUAAAAUUUCAAGAAUUCAAUUCAAUAUUAAAACUUAAGAAACUAAACAUAAGUUUAAGAAUUUUAUUGAAUUAAACUAAAUAUUAUAAAUGUAUCAUCAUUUAUAUAAUUUGAAGUUGGUUCAAGUUCAAAAAAUUACAACUAUAAUAAAAUUAUCCAUUUUGACUUGAUCUUGUUCACUUCUUGUUGUGAUUUGAUAUGCUACAACCUGUAUUAUGAAUAUGGUAAAUUAUUAGAAAAAUAAAUAUAUCAAGAUCUAAUUUUGGUAGUAAUUUAAAAAAAACUCCGCUUAGGCCCCGCCUAGCCCGCCUAGGCGUCGUCUAAGCGCUUUUUUCACCGAUUUGACCUUAGACGUGAUGCCAGGCGCCUAGGCCGGUUUUUAAAACACUGAGAACAACCUCUAAAAUAGACCCAAACAAUUUCUUAAAUGGACAUAAACCACCCCUAAAACAAACCCAACAAUUACCUUACAACAUAUCUAGGUGUCAAAUUCCAAAGAGGGUAUCCAUACAGUGUGCAGCUACUGCUCAUUGCGCUACUGUUCGACAAUGUAAAUCAGCAAAUAUUGGAUCAUCUUUUAGUAACCCAACAAAAAAUUUCAGCCUUUUGUGUCGCUGUCGUUGUAGCGCUGCCAUAUCUUGUCGAAUAAAAUGUACCUUUUGCCUUGCACAGAGAGAGGCCAUUAUGUUGUUUAUCGUCGUUUUGCAUAUAAAGAUUAAGAGGUUUACAAUCUUUAUAUUUGUAAGAUUGCAGUAAUGUCCCUAUUUGUUUCCUUUUAUUUUUAGCCUGUGAACUUUCUUUUAUCUAUGUUCUGCCCCUUUUCAAUAAUUUCCUUUAAGCCCUUUGAAGCAAAAAAGAAAAAAGAAAAGAAAAAUCUUUAAUUUAUUUGUAGGAAUCAUUGUAAAUGCUGGUGAAGGCAACACAUUCUUGAUGCUUAUGUGCUAUAACGAGAUGAAUCACUUAAAACAAAUUUUGAAGAUUCCAUUGGAGCGCUCACAACGAAUGCAACAAUGUCCAAGAAUCCAUCACAACUCUUACAACAAAAGUUGAUGUCUUUGUGCAACACGCAUAUAAAGGAAAAGAAGUUACUCAUGAGAAUCUAGAAGGUCCACUUUAUUAUCCUAAUUAUAUGGUACCCCUACAAUGUGGAUCCAAUCCAUGAAUAAAGCUACAUGUUCUAGACCCUAAGCUGAAUGCAGUGGAUAAAUGAGCAAAAUUAGAUGUCGAAUUCAAUGGUGAUCAUGAACGUGUAGUCUUUGAUUGGUACUCAAUUUGGAUACAAAAUGAUGUGUUAGAUUAUGUUUAGUUGAUAUUCUACCAUAUAUGGGUGAAUCCAAUAGUUGCAACCAAUCACUACCAUACAAAAUGACAGUUAUAGCCAAUCACUGUCAUACACAUCAUUUUGUAUCCUAUCUUUUUGUCAUCAAAAUGUUAUUGUGUUUUUAAUGAUGACAUGAGCUAGCCGAUGAGGGAACUUUUCUUUGUUGAAGGGAAAUGAAAUUGGACAAUCAUUUUUGGUGGCAUAAUAAACAAUGUUCUAAAGGCGCUAGGCGAGAUUUUUUAUUUUAAGUCAAUUUUAAUAUUUUAUGUUACAUUUAUCCAAACAAAACAAUAAUAUAAAGCAAAAUAAUCUAUAAUUAAGAUAAUAAAGGCCUUUGCUAAAAGUUCAAACACAUCUAUAUUGUUAACGUCAAAGUUCAAACACAAACAUGCAAUUUUUCAUAGUUCAAACAUAUUUUUAACGUAUUAGUUUUGUUCAUAAACAAGAUUGUUAUUAAAUAAUAAAAAUUAUAAUAUCAAGAAUUUAAUUCAAUAUUAAAACUUAAGAAACUAAACAUAAAUUUAAGAAUUAUAUUGAAUUAAACUAAAUAUUACAAAUGUAUCAUCAUUUAUAUAAUUUAAAGUUGGCACAAGUUCAAAAAAUUACGACUAUAAUAAAAUUAUCCAUUUUGACUUGAUAUUGU
rnacentral:lncRNA from 1 species